rnacentral:lncRNA from 1 species
UGAACAUCCUAUUUCUGUCUCUUUAAGAAGAGCUACAUUCCAUAAACUGUGGCUUUCAAUGAUCUUAGGUGAUGAGCUCUGGAUAAACAAGGAGCCAUAAACCCCAGGUGAGACAGAAGGAGGCUAAAAAGAAGACAGAGACCCACUUCUGAGGAGGGCUUGGAGGCAGAAAAGGGAUGGGUCCAAAAAAGCACCAGGGCCCCAGGCUCACACACCACCAGGUUUCCUGUCUGGCAGAUGCAAAGUGGCCUCGUCACCCACAGGGAGACCCCAGUCUCUGGCUGUAUCCAGCCAAGCCCCUGAGCAUCUUCCUGUGCUGAUGUCCUCCUCCUCCACUGGGAUGGGGCCCAGGCACUGGCUCCCCAAACUGUUCCAAUUAAAGAAGGAGCCUGUUUUUGAUGUCAGCCACCUGGGAAAGGGAAGCAAGACCCAUCUGUCCUUCUAGCCCCCCUGUUACAUGGACAUUCUCAAGUUCAAACAGGGUCCAGCCUCCUUUCUUGUGUGCCUAGUACUGGAAGGGGCCAGAGGACAUUGGAUAUCCUGGAGCUGGAGUUCCAGAUACUUGUGAACAACCAUAUGAGAGCUGGGAGUCAUUGCUGCCAACCACUAAGCGCCCAGUCUCAUAAAAUGGUAUUAUUUCUC